GAUGAACGCUGGCGGCGUGCUUAAUACAUGCAAGUCGAACGGAGAUUGCAGCAAUGUGAUCUUAGUGGCGAACGGGUGAGUAACGCGUGGGUGAUCUGCCCCGAAGUGCGGGAUACCAGUUCGAAAGGACUGCUAAUACCGGAUGUGGUCAUGAGGAUUAGAAGCUUGUGACUAAAGGCGAAAGUCGCUUCGGGAGGAGCCUGCGACCCAUCAGCUAGUUGGUAGGGUAAAAGCCUACCAAGGCGACGACGGGUAGGGACCUGAGAGGGUGGCCCCCA
rnacentral:rRNA from 1 species